rnacentral:lncRNA from 1 species
GUUAAAAAUAUGAGAGAUCAGUUAAAUUAAGAUAUUUCUGUCAUUUUUUUUUCUCCUUUCAAGGUGUAAGUAUUUCACUGUACAGCAUUAUUUGAAGAGUAACAUGUUUCAUCUCAAGGAUCAUGAAUGGCUUGCAGUAUAAUUUUACAAUGUGGCUCGUUAAAUUAAUUUACUAAAUACAAUGAUCUAACUGAAGAGACCUCAGUGCAUUUCAAUAGGCAUAGGCUUAGGCAGAAAGACUUCUCAACCCUGGGCUCAGAUCUGUAAUAAUUUCCUGACAAAGAAAUCACAGAAAUAUUUUAUAGGAAGUGCCAUCAAGAAGUCAUCUAGUUCACUUCCUUACUAUCCGAGAUUUUUCCCGGAGCUCCUAUUUCCCCAGAGUCAGCUGGAUGUUCACAGCAUUUUGAGGUGAAGGCUUGGCUGGAGAGUUCGAACAGUACAUGGGAAACAACUGUGGUGCAAGCUGUGUGUAAUGAGGGAUGGGCACAGCUGCAGCCAGGCUGGGAGCAGCUGCUUCCACAGGCUCGCAGAAUCCUUUGGGUCCAGCAUAGCAAGGUAAGCACAAGUGCAAAGACACCUCCCUCCAGCACACUCUGCAAGUUUACAGAUGUGUGAUCUGAUGAAUGUGGCAUUUAAACUUGGCUUUCAGUGAAGAAACAUGAUUUGUAGUGUCUUCUGUUUGCACCUUUGUUUUGCCCAAAAACAACGUAGGGUUUACUGCCAAAGCAGAAAACAGAGCAAAUGUGUCUUACAGUGCUGCCAGAAACUGGAUUCUUAAGAGGACUUUCACAAUUACAAUUAUAUCUUUUAGUACAAAUGAGAGAGUGGAAAAAAGGGUAACAAAUCAGGGUG